rnacentral:rRNA from 1 species
AUUGAACGCUGGCGGCAGGCUUAACACAUGCAAGUCGAGCGGGGUGAUGGUGCUUGCACUAUCACUUAGCGGCGGACGGGUGAGUAAUGCUUAGGAAUCUGCCUAUUAGUGGGGGACAACAUCUCGAAAGGGAUGCUAAUACCGCAUACGUCCUACGGGAGAAAGCAGGGGAUCACUUGUGACCUUGCGCUAAUAGAUGAGCCUAAGUCGGAUUAGCUAGUUGGUGGGGUAAAGGCCUACCAAGGCGACGAUCUGUAGCGGGUCCGAGAGGAUGAUCCGCCACACUGGGACUGAGACACGGCCCAGACUCCUACGGGAGGCAGCAGUGGGGAAUAUUGGACAAUGGGGGGAACCCUGAUCCAGCCAUGCCGCGUGUGUGAAGAAGGCCUUAUGGUUGUAAAGCACUUUAAGCGAGGAGGAGGCUCUUUUGGUUAAUACCCAAGAUGAGUGGACGUUACUCGCAGAAUAAGCACCGGCUAACUCUGUGCCAGCAGCCGCGGUAAAAC